GUGACGAAUAUGACGGUAGCAGAGGAAUAAGGAUCGGCUAACUACGUGCCAGCAGCCGCGGUCAUACGUAGGAUCCGAGCGUUAUCCGGAUUUACUGGGCGUAAAGAGUUGCGUAGGUGGCAGGGUAAGUCGGUAGUGAAAGCGUGUGGCUCAACCAUACUCACAUUACCGAAACUGCUCAGCUUGAGGACGAGAGAGGUCACUGGAAUUCCAAGUGUAGGAGUGAAAUCCGUAGAUAUUUGGAGGAACACCGAUGGCGUAGGCAGGUGACUGGCUCGUUCCUGACACUAAGGCACGAAAGCGUGGGGAGCAAACGGGAUUAGAUACCCCGGUAGUCCACGCCGUAAACGAUGGAUGCUAGCUGUGAGGAGUAUCGACCCUCCUCGUAGCGUAGCUAACGCGUUAAGCAUCCCGCCUGUGGAGUACGGUCGCAAGACUAAAACAUAAAGGAAUUGACGGGGACCCGCACAAGCGGUGGAGCGUGUUGUUUAAUUCGAUGGUAAGCGAAGAACCUUACCCGGGCUUGACAUCCUGUUAAUUUCUCCGAAAGGAGAAAGUGCCUUCGGGCCGCAGUGACAGGUGAUGCAUGGCCGUCGUCAGCUCGUGUCGUGAGAUGUUUGGUUAAGUCCAUCAACGAGCGCAACCCUUAUGAGUAGUUGUAUUUCUCUACUCAGACUGCCCUGGUAACAGGGAGGAAGGAGGGGAUGAUGUCAGGUCAGUAUCUCCCUUACGUCUGGGGCUACAAACACGCUACAAUGGCCGGUACAAAGGGCAGCCAACCCGCGAGGGGGAGCAAAUCCCAUCAAAGCCGGUCUCAGUUCGGAUUGUAGGCUGAAACCCGCCUGC
rnacentral:rRNA from 1 species